rnacentral:lncRNA from 1 species
AAGUAGUGGAGAAUCACCAGAAAAUUGAAUAAAUCUCAUAGGAGUUAGGAUGAAGAAGUUAUCCCACUUUCAAAUCAGGUGAUCCCAAUUUUCCUGGUUGGAAAUAUGACAACUUCUUUGUCAUUCUAAUCAAACCAUAAUGAAUCGCGAUCUGAGAAGCUGUAUUUGGAUAUAUAAAGUAGUGGAGAAUUACCAGGAAGUUGAAUAAAUCUCAUAGGAGUUAAGAUGAAAAAGUUAUCCCACUUUCAAAUCAGGUGAUCCCAGUUUUCCUGUUUGGGAAUAUGACUACUUCUUUGUCAUUCUAAUCAAACCAAGAUGAAUCGCGAUGUGAGAAGCUGGAUUUAGAUCCAUAAAGUAGUGGAGAAUCACCAGGAAGUCGAAUAAAUCUCAUAGGAGUUAGGAUGAAGAAGUUAUCCCACUUUCAAAU